rnacentral:ncRNA from 1 species
ACAUGAGGCUCAAAGAUGGGCUCUUUCAUAAAUUUAUGGAAGUUAACUCAGCUAUAUCGGUGAAAUCCUCUCGCGCGUAAAGCUUCGAAAGGACAAUACCGAGGGAAGAUCUCGACGAGAUAUCGGGAAACCCGUAGAGACUAUACGCUGGGCUCUCUGUUUAAAAGAUAGGGAUGAAGAUAUAGUCCGACACUUCAAGUAAUUGAAGA